GUUUCUGCCGCGUCCACCACAACCUCUGCUGUAUCAGAGGGGGCCUUCGCCGCCGCCGCCCCCACCACCGCCCCUGCCGCCAUCGCCACCUCCGCCGCUGCCGCCUUGGGGCCCUCCUCCUUCACCGCCCCCUUCACCACCUCUACACGUUCUAGGCCUUCUGUCCUGGAGAAGAAGCUAUAGUCGUUCUCCCUUGUGGGCCCGGGGCGCAGCCAUGGCGGACGGCGGCGGCGGCGGGGGAACUGGCGCGGUGGGCGGCGGCGGAACUAGCCAGGCCUCUGCCGGGGCAGCGACUGGCGCUACUGGGGCCAGCGGGGGCGGUGGCCCCAUCAACCCGGCCUCGCUGCCUCCCGGCGACCCGCAGCUCAUCGCUCUCAUCGUGGAGCAGCUCAAGAGCCGGGGCCUUUUUGACAGCUUCCGCCGGGACUGCCUGGCCGACGUGGACACCAAGCCAGCUUACCAAAACCUGAGGCAGAAAGUGGAUAAUUUUGUGUCAACACAUCUGGACAAGCAGGAAUGGAAUCCUACGAUGAACAAAAACCAGUUGCGAAAUGGUCUGAGGCAGAGUGUGGUUCAGUAAGUUGGGUGAUUGUGGGUGAGAUUGUGCAGUAGGAAUAACAGCUGCUGGUUGAGAAUUACCCCUCAAAAGUGAAAAUAGCGUGAGCUGUAUAUGGUCAGGGAUGUUGGAAGCUGGAGUAGACAGGAUUAUUUCUCAGGUGGUGGAUCCAAAACUUAACCACAUCUUCAGGCCACAAAUAGAACGAGCAAUUCAUGAGUUCCUGGCGGCCCAGAAAAAAGCAGCUGUGCCAGCACCCCCUCCAGAGCCCGAAGGCCAGGACCCUCCAGCUCCAUCUCAGGACACUUCCUAAGAAUACGCCAGACACCUUUUGAAAGCUAAUUUUUGGUGAAGAAAUGGAUUCGGUUACAUAAGAGUGCAACUUCAGACUGAAGAUAGGCCAAGGUCGUCACUGAUCUCAAGAUUUCAACCUUGACCAUGGGCAGUGACCAGAUUGAAAGGGGAGCAAGUUCGGCAGUGGGAGAGUUGACCGUGUCACCCCCUGCAUUGUGCUGCCAUUUGGCCAGCCUGUCCAAGGGCAUGACACCAAGUAGACACUACAGAGAGAGAAACACUACAGCAACCCAGGGUUGUCCUGAAACAGACUUUUAUACUUGAACAUGGAGACUGCACAUGGACUUUAGGGUUUGUGCUGUGGGAUAAACGGAAGCUACAGUGAGAACAUAGCCAGUCCCAAAGACAAUUUCAAAGAAAAAUGACAGUAAAGAUUAGCUGGGAGUAGUCUUUGACAGUGCUUAUUUGAUACUGUCUCUCAGAGUUUGCAAACCAGAUUGUACAAGUCAUUAGCGUCAGAUAGCUUUAAAGUUGUGACCUUCUUGUACAUGAAUCUUCUAGCCAGUUUCCUUUCCUUUGUAACGAAACAUGAAAUCCUAGAAUGUAUGAGAAGUUCAGACAUUAGGCAUAAGGAAACUCGUUUGCAGGCUCUCUGUCCAGGGCUGCUUCCUGUCCUGGAGGGGCCAGUGAGUCUUAGGUAUGUUUAUUUUAUUCUCACAUUUGUGUUUUUUUAGAAAAGUGAAUGGUCAAUAAAUGGCUUAUCUUUCAUAAUAAAAUUAUUUGAUACUUUUACUCCGAAGCUUCAGCUGAAGCUUAAACCUCAGGUCUGUGAAGGGCAACCUUUGUCUUCUGCCUCUGUGCACCACACAUGAUCUACUGGCAGUGAAGAUUGGUACAUAUAACUUGGAACUAUGAAACUAGUAGGUGUAGCUAGUAGUGGGCUGUUUCUCUCCUCCCUGAGCCAUUACUGACACUGGUCUUUAGUUGAGGUAGUCCGUGGUAUGUGUCAGUGUUUGUCAUCCUUGUGUGUGCAGAAGUAGCACCUGGGGAUUUAAGGGAAAAUGCAUAUUUCUGAUUAAGAAGUUCUGGGGUGGGACCUAAGAGUGAGUGUUUCUGACAAGCUGCCAGGUGAUGCUGAUGCUGCCAGGCCUCUGAACAUACUCUGUAU